rnacentral:rRNA from 1 species
AUUGAACGCUGGCGGCAGGCCUAACACAUGCAAGUCGAACGGUAACAGGUCUUCGGAUGCUGACGAGUGGCGAACGGGUGAGUAAUGCAUCGGAACGUGCCCAGUCGUGGGGGAUAACGCAGCGAAAGCUGCGCUAAUACCGCAAACGAUCUAUGGAUGAAAGCGGGGGACCGUAAGGCCUCGCGCGAUUGGAGCGGCCGAUGUCAGAUUAGGUAGUUGGUGGGGUAAAGGCCCACCAAGCCAACGAUCUGUAGCUGGUCUGAGAGGACGACCAGCCACACUGGGACUGAGACACGGCCCAGACUCCUACGGGAGGCAGCAGCGGGGAAUUUUGGACAAUGGGCGCAAGCCUGAUCCAGCAAUGCCGCGUGCAGGAAGAAGGCCUUCGGGUUGUAAACUGCUUUUGUACGGAACGAAACGGCCCUCUCUAAUACAGAGGGCUAAUGACGGUACCGUAAGAAUAAGCACCGGCUAACUUCGUGCCAGCCGCCGCCGUAAGAC